GGGUGCAGUCCCAUGAAGACACCAUAGGCAUUAGUACAGCUGUUGAUGUUGUGUGGGACUACCAACAAAAACUGGACCAGAUGUUUUAUCUACUGGAGUAAAUGCUAAUACUCACCCAUAAGGGGAGCAGGCUCCAAGAACUUGUGAAACAGGUGCUACAAAACACAUAGCUAUAUUUGGAAGAGAUUUUUGGAUACCACCUACGUGGCAAAGCAUGAGUUCACAUUUAUGGAGAAAAACAAUAAGAGAAAGAAAAAGAGGAAAAGGAGAA